AUUCAUGCUUUGGAAAUUUUUGCAACAAGUCCUUAAAUCUUUUCCAUUCCUUAUACAAGCUUUCAUCUUUUAUUUGAUUGAAAGAAGUGAGGUCGUUUCAUAGAUU